rnacentral:rRNA from 1 species
UACGAAGGGGGCUAGCGUUGCUCGGAAUCACUGGGCGUAAAGGGUGCGUAGGCCGGGUCUUUAAGUCAGGGGUGAAAUCCUGGAGCCUCAACUCCAGAACUGCCUUUGAUACUGAAGAUCUUGAGUUCGGGAGAGGUGAGUGGAACUGCGAGUGUAGAGGUGAAAUUCGUAGAUAUUCGCAAGAACACCAGUGGCGAAGGCGGCUCACUGGCCCGAUACGUGAGCGCUGACGGCACGGAAAAGGCCG